rnacentral:rRNA from 1 species
UACGUAGGGUGCAGGCGUUAAUCGGAAUUACUGGGCGUAAAGCGUGCGCAGGCGGUCUUUUAAGUCAGAUGUGAAAUCCCCGGGCUUAACCUGGGAACUGCGUUUGAAACUGGAAGGCUAGAGUGUGGCAGAGGGGGGUGGAAUUCCACGUGUAGCAGUGAAAUGCGUAGAGAUGUGGAGGAACACCGGUGGCGAAGGCGGCCCGCUGGGGUGGAGCUGACGCUGAGGCGCGGCAGCGUGGGGAGCAAACAGG